ACAUGCUAUGAGAACAGGGACUGCAGUGAUCCCAAUUCUGUUGCUUAGUUAAAUUUCGAGGGAGAAAGAGAAUGCCAAAAGGUUUGGUAGGUUAUGGAAGAAGAAGUUGGACGUGAGAAUCAUCUAGAAAUAAAUUAACAGGUAUUAAAAAAAAAUAAUUCUUA
rnacentral:lncRNA from 1 species